CAGUAGAGUGACGGCACCAGUAAUGGACACGGCACCAAUUAUGGACAUUUUUUUCGUUGAUCGAAUUUAUUAAGCAACUGUCCCGACAUUUUUCAACUGGCAACACUAAAGCAUAACCAAUAGACGUUUGAGCUGUCAUUUUGACACACGUCACCAAAAUCGGCCAUUUUGUUCUUAGAUGGCUGCGAAGUCAAAAUUCGUUACGCGCGGUGGUAAUAAAAAUCCGUUUUUAUUAUUGAAAUCGUUAAGGAGAUGGCACCGAAGAAAAAUUAUACCCCCGAACAAAUGGGGAGAGCAUUGGAUGCUGUAAGGAUGGGAGAAACUAUAAGCACAGCUGCCCUCCGGUUUGGGGUUCCUCGAAUAACCUUGCACAACAAGGUGACAGGCAAAAGUCCUGCAGUUUGUGCUAUGGGGCCUCAAACUAUCCUUACGGCAGAAGAAGAGGACAUUCUGGUAAAAUGGUUGGUCGCAAUGAGUGAAAAGCACUUUCCCAUAAAUAGACAAUUAUUAACAGAGAGCGUGCAAAAAAUUAUAUUAGAUCAAGGGAAGGCCAAUCCUUUUACAAAUAACAAACCUGGAAAAAAGUGGUUUUCCUCAUUUUUAAAACGUCAUCCAGAUAUAACAGAAAAAACAGCACAAAAUCUUUCGAAGUCGAGGGAUGACGUUACCGAAGAAGGCAUACGCAAAUGGUUUAAUGAAAUAACGACAUACAUAGAAGGUGUAGGUUUAAAAGAUGUUUUAGAUGACCCUAGCCGGAUAUUUAAUACCGA